rnacentral:rRNA from 1 species
GACGAACGCUGGCGGCGUGCCUAAUACAUGCAAGUAGGACGCAGUUGCGAACGUGUGAGUAACGCGUAGGUACCUACCUAUUAGUGGGGGAUGACUAUUGGAAACGAUAGCUAAUACCGCCUACUAGUAGAUGGACCUGCUUUGUAUUAGCUAGUAGGUAGGGUAAUGGCCUACCUAGGCAACGAUACAUAGCCGAGCUGAUAGGGUGAACGGCCACACUGGGACUGAGACACGGCCCAGACUCCUACGGGAGGCAGCAGUAGGGAAUCGUCGGAAAUGGGGGGAACCCUGAACGAGCAACGCCGCGGGAGAGAAGAAGGUUUUCGGAGCGUAAAGCUCUGUUGUGAAGGAAGCGGUACUUAACCAGAAAGGGACGGCUAACUACGUGCCAGCCGCCGCGGUAAUUC